GUCUAUGGCCAUGCCACCUUGAACAAGCCCGAUCCCGUCUGAUCUUGGAAGCUAAGCAGAGUCAGACCUGGUUAGUACUUGGAUGGGAGACCACCUAGGAAGACUGGGUGCUGUAGUCG
rnacentral:rRNA from 1 species